rnacentral:rRNA from 1 species
GGCGAACGCUGGCGGCGUGCUUAACACAUGCAAGUCGAACGGAAAGGCCCUGCUUUUGUGGGGUGCUCGAGUGGCGAACGGGUGAGUAACACGUGAGUAACCUGCCCUUGACUUUGGGAUAACUUCAGGAAACUGGGGCUAAUACCGGAUAGGAGCUCCUGCUGCAUGGUGGGGGUUGGAAAGUUUCGGCGGUUGGGGAUGGACUCGCGGCUUAUCAGCUUGUUGGUGGGGUAGUGGCUUACCAAGGCUUUGACGGGUAGCCGGCCUGAGAGGGUGACCGGCCACAUUGGGACUGAGAUACGGCCCAGACUCCUACGGGAGGCAGCAGUGGGGAAUAUUGCACAAUGGGCGGAAGCCUGAUGCAGCAACGCCGCGUGCGGGAUGACGGCCUUCGGGUUGUAAACCGCUUUCGCCUGUGACGAAGCGUGAGUGACGGUAAUGGGUAAAGAAGCACCGGCUAACUACGUGCCAGCAGCCGCGGUGAUACGUAGGGUGCGAGCGUUGUCCGGAUUUAUUGGGCGUAAAGGGCUCGUAGGUGGUUGAUCGCGUCGGAAGUGUAAUCUUGGGGCUUAACCCUGAGCGUGCUUUCGAUACGGGUUGACUUGAGGAAGGUAGGGGAGAAUGAAAUUCCUGGUGGAGCGGUGGAAUGCGCAGAUAUCAGGAGGAACACCAGUGGCGAAGGCGGUUCUCUGGGCCUUUCCUGACGCUGAGGAGCGAAAGCGUGGGGAGCGAACAGGCUUAGAUACCCUGGUAGUCCACGCUGUAAACGGUGGGUACUAGGUGUGGGGUCCAUUCCACGGGUUCCGUGCCGUAGCUAACGCUUUAAGUACCCCGCCUGGGGAGUACGGCCGCAAGGCUAAAACUCAAAGGAAUUGACGGGGCCCCGCACAAGCGGCGGAGCAUGCGGAUUAAUUCGAUGCAACGCGUAGAACCUUACCUGGGUUUGACAUGGAUCGGGAGUGCUCAGAGAUGGGUGUGCCUCUUUUGGGGUCGGUUCACAGGUGGUGCAUGGCUGUCGUCAGCUCGUGUCGUGAGAUGUUGGGUUAAGUCCCGCAACGAGCGCAACCCUUGUUCACUGUUGCCAGCACGUUAUGGUGGGGACUCAGUGGAGACCGCCGGGGUCAACUCGGAGGAAGGUGGGGAUGACGUCAAGUCAUCAUGCCCCUUAUGUCCAGGGCUUCACGCAUGCUACAAUGGCUGGUACAGAGAGUGGCGAGCCUGUGAGGGUGAGCGAAUCUCGGAAAGCCGGUCUCAGUUCGGAUUGGGGUCUGCAACUCGACCUCAUGAAGUCGGAGUCGCUAGUAAUCGCAGAUCAGCAACGCUGCGGUGAAUACGUUCCCGGGGC